CAGUAUCCCAAGUGGACAAUAUUUUCCAAUGUUCAAGUUGUUAAUUACAGAGCAGUUACAUGGAACUCUAAUCUUGGAACAGGUUCUAUGUGAUUAUGAGGCAAUCAGCACCAAACAGCUAUGAGGAAGCAGUUCAGAGAGCAGGAAGCAGUUCAGAGAGCAGGCUUCCCUCAUGGUGAAUGCUAAGCGUGCUGCAAGCUGGGUUCAGUUCCUUUUCCCCAGCUUCCUUCUUCCCUGGUUCAUUUUCUAAAGUUUACAGGGACAGUUUCACAGGUGAACGUGUCGGCCACAGCCGCAGAAUAAACAUGUGGAGAAGGUCAUUGAUCACCUUGACUGAAGCACUGCAGACAAGAUAAAGACAGCCUGAUGCAGAGGAAGAUUGAGGACUAAGGGGCUU
rnacentral:lncRNA from 1 species